UGGGGGAAUUUUGGACAAUGGGCGAAAGCCUGAUCCAGCAAUGCCGCGUGUGUGAAGAAGGCCUUCGGGUUGUAAAGCACUUUUGUCCGGAAAGAAAUGGCUCUGGUUAAUACCUGGGGUCGAUGACGGUACCGGAAGAAUAAGGACCGGCUAACUACGUGCCAGCAGCCGCGGUAAUACGUAGGGUCCAAGCGUUAAUCGGAAUUACUGGGCGUAAAGCGUGCGCAGGCGGUUGUGCAAGACCGAUGUGAAAUCCCCGAGCUUAACUUGGGAAUUGCAUUGGUGACUGCACGGCUAGAGUGUGUCAGAGGGGGGUAGAAUUCCACGUGUAGCAGUGAAAUGCGUAGAGAUGUGGAGGAAUACCGAUGGCGAAGGCAGCCCCCUGGGAUAACACUGACGCUCAUGCACGAAAAGCGUGGGGAGCAAAACAGGAUUAGAUACCCUGGUAGUCCACGCCCUAAAACGAUGUCAACUAGUUGUUGGGGAUUCAUUUCCUUAGUAACGUAGCUAACGCGUGAAGUUGACCGCCUGGGGAGUACGGUCG
rnacentral:rRNA from 1 species